UAGUAAAAGAGAAAAUAUUGCAUCCUGUUCACUCUCCAGAACUCUGCCAAUGUCACAGACAGGUGGAUGGACAGCACUCUGACUAACCCUGUGCAGGCAAGCAAGGAGCUUCCUGUCCCAGCCACAUCAGAGGAAGAUACAAGACAAGCACCAGUUCACCUGCCAUGUUGCCUUGACCAGAGAGGCCCAAGAAUCAACAGGCAUGAGUAAAGGGAAAAAAAAAAAAAAAACGUUGAGUGAAGGGAACACUGCAGAUCAGCAAGCCUUUCUGUGUCCAAUUUGCUCUUCUACUUGGCUUGAGGAACUUGAGAAUACAUAUGCCUGCUAUUGGUUACUAGUGUGGUGAGGCAAGUCUCCCUCUCUGUGGUCAGUGAUCAAGACCUCACUUCUGUGUUUUUUGCUUCCAUGAAGAAUUCUACAUAAGCUAUGAAUGUUCUUACAGAUCACCUCUGCAAAAGUGAAAUAAACAUUUUCUAGCUCAAUUAUUCUGUGAAUUGUUUUGAUAAAAUCGACUCCUAUUUUUUUUUAUCUUAAGUGUUUUGCAUAUCCAGCACAUAGAUCUGGUCUUUCCCCAAUUCAGAAAGGCCUAUUUCUACUGUGUCCUGUGUUGCUGCAUCUUGGAUCCUUUACCUCAAUUAAUUGCUGAUGUCAUCUCUUAGCUAUUUCCAAAAGGGUGUCUGAGUUGCUUUGCUUACUUUAUUACAUACUAGUCCUUAUGA